AGCUUUUCAAAUCCGUGCUGAGAUUUCGUCAAACACUAACCCAUUAGUGAUGAUCAGACUUCCAAGAUAAGUGAAGUU
rfam:Schistosoma mattheei strain Denwood, Zambia genome assembly, scaffold: SMTD_scaffold0010867